UUCAGAGGGUGCAAGCGUUAAUCGGAAUUACUGGGCGUAAAGCGCGCGUAGGUGGUUUGUUAAGUUGGAUGUGAGAGCCCCGGGCUCAACCUGGGAACUGCAUCCAAAACUGGCAAGCUAGAGUACAGUAGAGGGUGGUGGAAUUUCCUGUGUAGCGGUGAAAUGCGUAGAUAUAGGAAGGAACACCAGUGGCGAAGGCGACCACCUGGACUGAUACUGACACUGAGGUGCGAAAGCGUGGGGAGCAAACAGG
rnacentral:rRNA from 1 species